rnacentral:rRNA from 1 species
GCCAGCCCGCUCAGAAACUUAAAGGAAUUGACGGGGGCCCCGCACAAGCGGUGGAGCACGUGGUUUAAUUCGAUGCAAACCGAAGAACCUUACCUGGGUUUGACAUGUACGUGUUACUGAUCUGAGAGGAGAGGGACCCAUGCUUCGGUAUGGGAGCGUACACAGGUGCUGCAUGGCUGUCGUCAGCUCGUGUCGUGAGAUGUUGGGUUAAGUCCCGUAACGAGCGCAACCCUUGUCCUUAGUUACCAGCACGUUAUGGUGGGCACUCUAAGGAGACUGCCGGUGACAAACCGGAGGAAGGUGGGGAUGACGUCAAGUCCUCAUGGCCUUUAUGACCAGGGCUACACACGUACUACAAUGGCCGAUACAAAGGGCAGCGACACUGCGAGGUGAAGCCAAUCCCGUAAAAUCGGUCUCAGUCCGGAUUGGAGUCUGCAACUCGACUCCAUGAAGUUGGAAUCGCUAGUAAUCGUGGAUCAGCAUGCCACGGUGAAUACGUUCCCGGCCUU